CCUACGGGAGGCAGCAGGGGGGGAUAUUGCACAAUGGGGGGAACCCAGAUGCAGCGACGCCGCGUGGGUGAAGGAGUGCUUCGGCAUGUAAAGCCCUAUCGGCAGGGAAGAAGCAAGACGGUACCUGACUAAGAAGCCACGGCUAACUACGUGCCAGCAGCCGCGGUAAUACGAAGGGGGCGAGCGUGAUCAGGAUUCACUGGGUGUAAAGGGAGCGUAGACGGCCAUGCAAGCCAGGGGUGAAAGCCCGGGGCCCAACCCCGGGACUGCCCUUGGAACUGUGCGGCUAGAGUGCGGGAGGGGCAGGCGGAAUUCCUGGUGUAGCGGUGAAAUGCGUAGAUAUCAGGAGGAACACCGGCGGCGAAGGCGGCCUGCUGGACUGCGACUGACGUUGAGGCUCGAAAGCGUGGGGAGCGAACAGGAUUAGAUACCCCUGUAGUC
rnacentral:rRNA from 1 species